rnacentral:snRNA from 10 species
AUCUGUUCUUAUCAGUUUAAUAUCUGAUACGUCCCCUACCCGGGGACCAUAUAUUAAAUUGAUUUUUGGAACUGGGAGAUGGUAAAGGGGCUUGCCCCGUCCACUCCACGCAUCGACCUGGUAUUGCAGUACCUCCAGGACCGGUGC